UACGUAGGGUGCGAGCGUUGUCCGGAAUUACUGGGCGUAAAGGGCUCGUAGGUGGCCAACUAAGUCAGACGUGAAAUCCCUCAGCUUAACUGGGGAACUGCGUCUGAUACUGGAUGGCUUGAGAUUGGGAGAGGGAUGCGGAAUUCCAGGUGUAGCGGUGAAAUGCGUAGAUAUCUGGAGGAAUACCGGUGGCGAAGGCGGCAUCCUGGACCGGCAUUGACGCUGAGGAGCGAAAGCCAGGGGAGCAAACGGG
rnacentral:rRNA from 1 species